rnacentral:tRNA from 1 species
GCCGAGGUAUCCUAGCCUGGUAGGGAGCAAUCCCAUGAGGGCUCAUGCCUGGAGAAGGCUAGGGCUCUUCCUGAGAGCUUGUGACUCGUAAGGGUCUCGGGGGUUCAAAUCCCCCCCUCGGCGCCA